CUUGUACUAAGCAGACGAGAUUUAACCCAUCUGUUAACCGCAGUGUACUACAGCAUUCAGUCUACGAAGGAGAGUGUUGGAGUGUAUACAUUUCGUAAACCGGGCUUGGAGAAGCUUGCGGAAGACCAUGCAGGAAUUAUAGCCGUGUCAAGGGUUAUUUGUUUAAAGAGAGAGUGUUUGUGGGGGUACUCACGUCAACUUUCACCCUCAGUAUGGGAAGUAUACAGGAACUCGAGAAUUUACUUCGGCUGAAAGAUGACAAGAUCCGAGAGUUGCAAAGACUGGUGGAGGAUAAAGAGGACAAGAUACAAGCUUUGAGAAGCAAAUUAGACAAAUUUCAGUCAAUAUUACCCCAGACAUCGAUAAUUGGGGGGCCACGGAAACAGAGAGCUCAGGGCAUCAGUGCCGAACCACAGGCUUUACGAUCUAUCCAAGACCUAGCCAAACAAUCCUUCAAGAAGCAUUCAAAGACAAACAGUUCUCGGGAGUUGAUAAAGCAGGCUAUCCUGGACAAUGAUUUCAUGAAGAAUCUGGAGAUGUCCCAGAUCCGGGAGAUCGUGGACUGCAUGUAUCCAGUGGAAUACUCCAAAGACAGCACUAUUAUCAAGGAGGGCGACAUGGGCAAUCUCGUAUAUGUCAUGGAAGAUGGCAAGGUGGAGGUAUCCAAAGAAGGUCAGAAACUAUGCACAAUGGUACCGGGGAAGGUGUUUGGAGAGCUCGCCAUUCUGUACAACUGUACGAGGACAGCCACGGUUAAAGCGUUAUACAACUGUCGACUAUGGGCGAUAGACCGAGCAUGCUUCCAGAGUAUUAUGAUGAAAACCGGUCUGUUACGACACUCGGAACAUAUGGACUUCUUGCGGAGUGUACCUACGUUUAAAGGUCUUCCGGAGGAAACGCUAAGUAAAAUUGCUGAUGUAUUAGAAGAGGCCCAUUACGGUCAAGGAGAUUUCAUUAUCAGACAAGGUGCAAGGGGAGACACAUUUUUCAUCAUUGCAAGGGGAAAGGUGAAAGUUACCAAAAAGAACUCCAAAGCGGGUUCUGAGCAAAUCAUUAGGUAUUUACAAAGGGGAGACUUCUUCGGCGAGAGAGCAUUACAAGGCGAAGACGUCCGCACCGCCAAUAUUAUAGCAAAUGAUCCAGAGGGCGUGGAUUGUCUAGUCAUCGACAGGGAGUCCUAUUCACAACUCAUUAGCAAUUUAGAUGAACUCAAGAGAAUUUAUGAAGAUGAUGAAAUAUCGGCUGGAAUUGACUCGGAAUACACCAAACUGAAACUCAAAGAUCUCUCAGUGAUAGCAACGUUAGGCGUCGGAGGGUUCGGGCGGGUUGAACUGGUCCACGUGAACAACGACAACACGAAGACAUACGCGCUGAAGAUUCUGAAGAAGCAUCACAUAGUGGAGACUCGCCAGCAGGAGCAUAUCAUGAACGAGAAACGCAUCAUGAUGGAAGCAAGAUCAGACUUCAUUGUCAGGCUGUACAGAACAUUCAAAGACAGGAAGUUUUUGUAUAUGUUGCUGGAGGCCUGCUUAGGAGGAGAACUGUGGACGGUUUUAAGAGACAAAGCGUCGUUCGACGACAACACGACUCGCUUCUACACUGCCUGCGUAGUGGAGGCCUUCUCCUACCUCCAUAGUCGGGGUAUCGUCUAUAGGGAUCUGAAGCCAGAAAACUUGUUACUUGAUGGAGAUGGUUAUGUCAAACUGGUUGACUUCGGGUUCGCUAAAAGGGUUGGUCAUGGCAGGAAGACAUGGACAUUCUGUGGAACGCCGGAAUAUGUGGCCCCGGAGAUUAUCCUCAACAAAGGCCACGACAUCUCUGCAGACUACUGGUCACUCGGUAUCCUCAUGUACGAGCUCCUCACCGGCAGCCCACCGUUUGCUGGUCCAGAUCCGAUGAAGACGUACAACCUCAUCCUAAAAGGCAUCGACGCCAUAGACUUUCCAAGGCGAAUCACCAAAAACGCUCAAAGUUUGAUUAAAAAGCUAUGCAGGGAUAAUCCCAUGGAGAGACUCGGAUUUGGUCGCAGUGGAAUACGGGAGAUUCAAAAACAUGCGUGGUUCGAGAGCUUCAACUGGGACGGCCUCCGAAACAGGAACGUCAAACCACCUAUCAUCCCUUCGGUGAAGUCUGCCACGGAUACGUCCAACUUUGACGACUACCCCGAAGACGAGGAGGAACCCCCGCCAGACGAUCUCACUGGCUGGGACAAAGAAUUCUGAGACGCGUGACCGGAUGUACAGUACCGGAAGUGAAUUUUGCAACGUCAUCUGUGAUAACCUGAGGACGUCAGGGCUUGCCAUGCAACCGUCGUGCCUUGCCUCUCAAUGAUAUACUGGGCCAAAGAAACGGGAUAUCGUUCAUGGUGCCCUUUCUUUCCGUGGAGACGUGGCUUUUACAAGCCAAGAUAUGAAUAAGGGGAACUUGAAUCACAUCAGAACUUUCCAUACUGUUUGAAUCAUGAUUCUUCGGUCCACAGAGUACUUUCAGUGUUACAAUUUUGUGAUCGGAUCGGAUUGGUUUGGAUAAGUGGGGACAAUUGUCCCAUGUUAUGUCCUAAAGCAAUAAUGAAGUGCAGUCGCAAAUGGUGAGCGUAAUGAGGUGAAGAUAUUCGUCUUCCAGUUUCCACCGAAAACGUUCGUCGCUUAAAAUUUAAUUCAUCUUUUCACGACAUAUCACUGCCGUCAGCCAUAUUCAUAAAGGGAGGUAACUGAAAUCUGGUUUCGUCACAGUAAGGUGAUUGUCUCCCUCUACUGAUGGUAACUUUCAGGUUUCAUCACCAUUGUGUUUACCUGGUUGAUAUAUUUGAUUAACCACCAGAUGUGUAUUAUAUGUUAAUAGAUUGUAUUUAUUUCCUUCACUUGUGAAGACCGUGAUAACUCCAUCGGAGAUAUGCAGAUAUGGAGUAUUGGAUUGUUCAUGAGAGUUUUAAACGUUAUAUGUCAUACCAUUUUACUGUUGAGGUACACAGAAAAGCCUUGUCAUUUUUGGAUAUGACGGGUUGGUUCGCAAUUAUUCGGAUUUCUCCGUUAAAAAUGUUAUGCUUAUGUUAUGUUAUGUCCAGUCAUCUUGCCUUGUAGUUUAUAUUGAAUCUUUCUAGCACAAUGAAAACCACUUACCAGAUAACACAAACUAACCAUGCAACUCGACGAGAUGUCUCUGAUCUUCAGCUCAUCGUACUGCAUGUGGGCUGGAGAUACUGAAGCUAUAGUGUUUACACUCUGAUCUUCAGCUCAUGGUACUGCAUGUGGGCUGGAGAUUCUGAAGCUAUAGUGUUUACACUCUGAUCUUCAGCUCAUGAUACUGCAUGUGGGCUGGUGAUACUGAAGCUAUAUUGUAUACACUCUGAUCUUCAGCUCAUCGUACUGCAUGUGGGCUGGUGAUACUGAAGCUAUAGUGUUUACACUCUGAUAUUCAGCUCAUGGUACUGCAUGUGGGCUGGUGAUACUGAAGCUAUAGUGUUUACACUCUGAUCUUCAGCUCAUGGUACUGCAUGUGGGCUGGUGAUACUGAAGCUAUAGUGUUUACACUCUGAUCUUCAGCUCAUGGUACUGCAUGUGGGCUGGUGAUUCUGAAGCUAUAGUGUUUACACUCUGAUCUUCAGCUCAUGGUACUGCAUGUGGGCUGGAGAUUCUGAAGCUGUAGUGUUUACGCUCUGAUCUUCAGCUCAUGGUACUGCAUGUGGGCUGGAGAUUCUGAAGCUAUAGGUUUACACUCUGAUCUUCAGCUCAUGGUACUGCAUGUGGGCUGAAGAUUCUGAAGCUAUAGUGUUUACAUGGAUACAUGCGCAGUCUCCGGUCUCCAGGGGAACGUCAAACACUAGUUUCUGUAGUUCGUUACAGAUCAUGCAUUCCAUGUAUGUGUCCUUAACAUACAAUCAUUAUACGUGUCACAGACUACCCAUGAUAUGGCAUCCUGCAUACGUUUAAAUAUUAUUAUAAAUCAUGCCAGGGCAUUCGGAAUGUAAAUUUAUGUGUUUGGGGAAGAUCUAUACCGUAAUAUCUAAAAUAAAUCUCGAUCGAUUAUCCAGCGUGUCUGUAGUCGCUUUGGGUUGUUUGUCAUAUGUACGUUUGUAAUGAAAGUCUGGAUAAACGACAUCUAUUGCAUUUUCAAUUCAUAUCAUAUUAAAUCCGAUGAAAUGUUGUAAUACAUUCUUAACCAAAGCCAAAGGAAUUGGUUCCAUUACAACCAAAAUAUAUAUUCACCUGUUACUCCUUUCCGUCAGUGGUAGGAUGUUGUAACGCUAAAGGCCAUCUUGGAUUACGGAAAGAUGGGAUGGGUGACGAAGCCUUACCAAUUUCAUAUCGGCGGGUUGGUCAUUCCAACAAAGGGUAUCUAUCAUCAUAUCUUCAUCAUCAAAGAGUUCAUUUUACAAGAUAUUACUUUCUCGUCUUAACCAUCGAUGCUUAAGAGAAGGGGUACAAUUAACAAAGCCACAUUCUUGUUCACAUUCUGGUAUAUAGCAAUGCAUAAGAUGUGUGACUUCUGCCUUCCACAUGUUUCCUACCGUCACGUGAGUGAGUUGCUUGUGUGAAAGGAUGAAUGUCACGUGAAUGACGUCAUGCUAUGUAAUCUAACCUCUAUGGGGCGCCUGGCACGGAGCCUCAAGUGUCCGGCAAUGUCAAAUGGUGAGGGAUCUCGUGCACAGGUCAGCUGGAACAGGUGCCUUUUAUUUGUCCUUCGUUGAAACUGUUUAUUUUUCUCCGCAAGGGUAUGUGAAAACUUGGACAAUAAAGAAUUUAAUUAAA
rnacentral:misc_RNA from 1 species